AUGGCGGCGGCCGCUCCCCCUCCCGCGGCGGCGCUGGAGCAGCUGAGCAAGACCAAGAUGUUCGGCGGCCACAACCUCCGCUUCCGCCACCAGAGCGCCUCGCUCGGCUGCCCCAUGACCUUCUCCCUCUUCCUCCCCGCGUCCCCGGCCUCCAAGCUCCCCGUGCUGUACUGGCUCUCCGGCCUCACCUGCACCGACGAGAACUUCAUCAUCAAGUCCGGCGCCCAGCGCGCCGCCGCGGCACACGGCGUCGCCCUCGUCGCCCCCGACACCUCCCCGCGUGGACUAAAUGUAGAAGGGGAGGCAGAUAGUUGGGAUUUUGGUGUUGGUGCUGGAUUUUAUUUGAAUGCCACAAAUGAGAAGUGGAAAAACUGGCGCAUGUAUGAUUAUGUUGUGAAGGAGCUGCCAAAAGUUUUAACUGACAACUUUGAACAGCUUAACACGUCAUGUGCAUCAAUUUUUGGCCACUCUAUGGGAGGGCACGGUGCACUGACUAUCUACUUGAAGAACACUGACAAAUACAAGUCGGUGUCUGCAUUUGCUCCAAUUGCUAACCCAAUAAACUGCCCUUGGGGUCAGAAAGCAUUCUCAAACUAUCUGGGCACAACUAAAUCAGAAUGGGAGGAAUACGAUGCAACCUUGUUGGUUAAGAAGUGCAACACACUUUCAACUCCUAUCCUGGUUGACCAGGGAGAGGAUGACAAGUUCCUGGCGGAGCAGCUGCUGGCGGGCAACUUCGAGGAGGCGUGCAAGGCGGCGGGCGCUCCCCUGAUCCUGCGCAUGCAGCCGGGAUACGACCAUUCCUUCUUCUUCAUCGCCACCUUCAUCGACGACCACAUCGCGCACCACGCCCAGUUCCUCAAGAGCGGCUGA
rnacentral:rRNA from 1 species